UCGUUUGGGUGUUUAUUGCAAAUCAUAUAAUUUUUAAGCAUGCAUGCUUGUUUUAUCAUACUUUAAUACGUUCUGUUUCCGAAAUUGUCCUAGGUGUUUAAGGUUUUAAUCCGGUAUGUUGUCUACAUUAUGGUAAAGAUUCUUCAUGCAAUGCAUAACCAACUGUGGGACUUCAUGAAAUAAUCUGAUCCGAACCCGACAUGAUUUUAUAGAGAAAUACGACUUGAUAAACCCAAAUUCAAUCCACAAUGACCAGUUCUUUAAGAUUUAAUACCUCAAGGCUCGUAGUGCACCAUCUCUAUGAACCCGGGGUGUUUAGGUUGCAAUAUUCGACCUUAACCAACAUACGUGGAAUUUAUUGGGGAGGUUGAGUAUUUGCUCCGAUUUAUUUGAGUUAAGUUCACAGUGUCAACUAAGUAGUAGUUUCAAAUUACGUGAGUCCCCAAUUUAACAAGGGCAUGUCCUUGUAGUUCAAUAACAAGGACACAGACAAAAUGGGUGUUUAAAGAUUUUGUUUCGUGAUAAAGAUAAUGGGACGGAGGAUGCUCUCUCUCUUUCUUUCUCGCGGUGGUCGCCGGCGUUAGUCGCCGGACGAUGUUCCGCCCUCCCUUCUGCCAUACCCAAACUCAAGCACUCCACAACACAAGCCAAUUACAGUUUUAUUCAUAUUCCCAAUUAGAGUCACCGAAAUUUCUCGAUUAGUAUGUCGAUUACGUGGUUUAAUGGCUUCUUAACGUUUUGAGAUCAUCAUCGCCGUCCAGAUUCGCCAUUACAAGUGAGAUGGAUAACACCGUUUUUUGGUUUGUGUUUGGGAUAACAAAGCUACCUAGGAUUUAAGCGAUUUGCUGCCAUUGAUGGAACUAAUCGGAUAUGAGCCCAUCACCACCGCAACCAUUCAGGUCACCACUCUCUCUUCUUUGUUUGUACGCAUGUGUAUCUGUAUGCAUAUAUCACAACUCAAUUCUCAAUUGUGUGUUUAAUUUCUUUCUUUCACUUUUGUUGCAAUUCAAGUUUCAAUUAUAGUCAGAUCUGAUAUUGAUUCAUUCAAGUACUACUAUCAUGCAUGUUUGUUUGAUUUUAUUUAUUAAACUAUCGAGAUUCUCAUCGUGUGGCUUAAUUGUAAUGUUUUGGUGAUGGUGAUUGGUGAGCAUGAAUCUGGGUGAUAUGCAAUCGUAAGAAAUUCUAUUUUAACUUUUGAUAAAACUGAAAUGGAAUUGCAUUAUAAUGUUUUAAUUUUUGUUAUCGGCGUAGAUCUAUGAUUAGAUAAGUACAGUUUCUACGAGAUAUCUGUUUCACUCUGGUGUGUCAGCUGUAAAACUUGAAUUUUCUGUUUCUGAAAAUACGAGAUUGAUUUGGGAGAUAGUUCAUAAUUAUGUGGAUUUGGAUGUUGUGAAUCAUGGUGUAACGGAGGUUAUCUUAGAUGUAAUAGUUUUGAAUAUGUUACGUUUUUGAAUUCAUAAUUAUCAUGAUUGUUUGAUAUUUAGGCAAUAAUUUAUUCUUAAAUUAGAUUGGCUUUAAUUACGAGAUCUCUUUUAUUCUCUAUUCAUUAUCUGUCUCCAUUAGUUUUAAUUAGAACAGUUACAUUUUAAAUUGUAAUUGUGAUUGGAUAAAUAUUCUUUAUGAAUAUUUAAAUAUCUUUAAGUACUAUUUAUGGGAGUCAUUAAUCAUGACUUUAUUGUGCCUUUAAUGGCUUUAUUGUGCCUUUAAUGGGGCUUUAUUGUGCCUUUAAUGGCUUUUUAUUCCAAUUUGGAUGCCAUUUUUAUGGCUUAUUUGACAUUUUGAUGAUCAUUAUAUAUAAUAUAUUUAAUCAUGUUUUAAACUUUAUUUUAUUCCUCACUUAAAUUAUUAAUUUUUAAUGUGUCUAACCAAAGGAUUUUCCUUUGGUUAGAAAUUAGUUUAUAUUUCUAUAUUUUUUUUUAAUUUUUUUUGAUAUAUAUACUCUUUUGUUUUGUUUUUAUUAGAUUUUCUAUCAUUUUUACAUUAUAUUAAAUAUAUAUAUAUAUAUGUGUGCGUGUGUGUGUGAUUUACUUGUAUACAGAUUUAUGUUUUGUUUGGUUUGUUUUGUUUUUUUCAGGAUAAUUUGGAAGCGAGCUGGUUCGUGACUUAUGGGUGUUCUUUUCUCAUUCAUUUAAGCUUUAUUGUCUAAACGUCCGGAGUUGUGCUUGCAUGACUUUCGGUUAGAUGAUAAACUUUCUUGAAAAACCUAAAAAAAAAAAAAAAAAAAAAAAAUACCUCAAGGCUCAAGCUUAUAUUUUAUUUUUCAAAAAUCAUAUUAAGCAAGUCCGGGGCUUCGACUACGCUAAUUGUAUUGAUAAGGACUCAACAUUCUACUUAUUUGGAACAUUUGUUGCUUUGAAUUUAGUCCAGAGACCUCAAGUUUAAGACAAUGCAUGCCAAAGACGACACAGAAACUCGAC
rnacentral:lncRNA from 1 species